rnacentral:pre_miRNA from 1 species
UUAACUCAAAUUUGUAUGGUAUUCGAACGUUUGCCUACAGUUGCCGCUAGGGGCGCUGUUCCAACUGCAUACACAAAUUUCAGUUA